GACGAAGGAUGCAAGCGUUAUCCGGAUUCAUUGGGUUUAAAGGGAGCGUAGGUGGCCUUAUAAGUCAGUGGUGAAAUCUCUGGGCUUAACCCAGAAAUUGCCAUUGAUACUGUAGGGCUUGAGUAUAGUUGCCGUUGGCGGAAUAUGACAUGUAGUGGUGAAAUACAUAGAGAUGUCAUAGAACACCGAUUGCGAAGGCAGCUAACGAAACUAUAAACUGACACUGGAGGCUCGAAAGUGCCGGGGAUCAAACAGGA
rnacentral:rRNA from 1 species